rnacentral:rRNA from 1 species
UGCCGCUUGCGAGGGCGUAUGGUGGAUGCCUUGGCAGACAGUACCGAUGAAGGACGUUUGAGGAUGCGAUAAUCCUAGGGGAGCCUCCAACAUGGCUUUGAUCCUAGGGUCUCCGAAUGGGGGAACCCGCCGGCCGUCAUGGGCCGGCACCGCCUAUGGGCGGGGGGUACGCAGGGAAGUGAAACAUCUCAGUACCUGCAGGAAGGGAUACUCCGUGAGUAGUGGCGAGCGAAAGCGGAUCAGACCAAACCGGUUGCGCGUGAUACCCGUCGGGGGUUGCGUUGCCGGUGUUGUGGGAUCACGUGUCCCGGUUCCGACGGGCCGGGCGGGAGUCAUAAAACGGCUUGCCAGGGGAACAGGCUUGAAGGCCUGGCCGUAGAGGGUGCCAGCCCCGUACCUGGACGUGAGCCGUCUUCCGAUCGUGUUGUCCCAAGUAGCGCGGGCCUCGUGGAAUCCCGCGUGAAUCAGCCCAGACCGUUGGGUAAGUCUAAGCAUACCUGUCUGACCGAUAGCGUACCAGUACCGUGAGGGAAAGGUGAAAAGCACCCCGGGAGGGGAGUGAAACAGUUCCUGAAACCGUGCGCCCACAAACCGUCGGAGCCUCCGUGUGGGGUGACGGCGUGCCUAUCGAAAAAUGAGUCUGCGAGUCAGUGGCGGGUGGCGAGCAUAAGCCGUGUGGCGUAUGCGUAGCGAAAGCGAGUCUUAAAAGGCGUUUUUAGUCGCUUGUCCUGGACCCGAAGCGGGAUGAUCUAGCCCUGGGCAGGUUGAAGCGCGGGUAAGACCGCGUGGAGGACCGAACCCACCUGGGUUGAAAACCGGGGGGAUGACCUGGGGCUAGGGGUGAAAGGCCAAUCAAAUUCCGUGAUAGCUGGUUCUCUCCGAAAUGCAUUUAGGUGCAGCGUCGGUCGAUUGCGUCGCGGGGGUAGAGCUACCGGAUGCUUGCGGGCCCUUGUUGGGUACCAACAGCAGCCGAACUCCGAAUACCGUUGACGUGUAUUCCGGCAGUGAGUCGGCGGGGGAUAAGCUCCGUCGUCGAGAGGGAGACAGCCCAGACCGUCGUCUAAGGUCCCGAAGCGUGUGCUAAGUGGGAAAGGAUGUGGAGUCGCAUAGACAGCCAGGAGGUUGGCUCAGAAGCAGCCAUCCUUGAAAGAGUGCGUAACAGCUCACUGGUCUAGUGGUUCCGCGCCGACAAUGUAGCGGGGCUCAAGCACACCACCGAAGACGCGGCAGCAAUCUUCAUGGUUGCUGGGUAGGAGAGCGUCCUGCGAGGGGCGAAGCGGCCGGGUAACCGUGCCGUGGACUUCGUGGGAGUGAGAAUGCAGACAUGAGUAGCGAGAGACGGGUGAGGAUCCCGUCCGCUGGAUGACCAAGGGUUCCGGGGCCACGUUCGUCGUCCCCGGGUGAGUCGGGUCCUAAGGCGAGGCCGACAGGCGUAGUCGAAUGGAUGAACGGGUGGAUAUUCCCGUACCGACCAUGGACCGGCAAAACCGAGACGGUGAGUACUAACCUCCGCCUCGUGGUGGUUCCUUCCUUCGGGUUGGUUCCGCCGCGUGGUGUUGGGAGCGUAGCCGCAGUAGGUCAGCGCAGGGGUGACACGGAAUGGGAGCCGGCCGCGGAGGUGGUUUUCCGUGGUCAAGCACGCAGCCAGUCAUGUAGGCAAAUCCGCAUGGCGCGCAUGGCGAGGUGUGAUGAUGGGAGCCGUUAUGGCUCGAUAUCCGGUUGUCCAGGCCGUCGAGAAAAGCCUCGGCGUGAGGGCCAUGGCCGCCCGUACCCCAAACCGACACUGGUGGUCAGGUAGAGAAUACCAAGGCGAUCGAGCGAAUCCUGGUCAAGGAACUCGGCAAAUCACUCCCGUGCCUUCGGUAUAAGGGAGACCCACUGGGGUGAAGGACCUUGCGUCCGGAGCUUUGGUGGGUGGCACAGACCAGGGGGUAGCGACUGUUUACCAAAAACACAGGUGCAUGCGAAGGCGAAAGCCGCUGUAUAUGCACUGACGCCUGCCCGGUGCCGGAAGGUUAAGAGGAUCCGUCAAUCCCUUCGGGGACGAAGCGGUGAAUUCAAGCCCCGGUAAACGGCGGUGGUAACUAUAACCAUCCUAAGGUAGCGAAAUUCCUUGUCGGGUAAGUUCCGACCUGCACGAAUGGCGUAACGA